GUCAGGAUGGCCGAGUGGUCUAAGGCGCCAGACUCAAGGUGUUCACCUUGCCUGUGGGCAUUCUGGUCUCCGAAUGGAGGCGUGGGUUCGAAUCCCACUUCUGACA
rfam:Camelus ferus unplaced genomic scaffold scaffold1221, whole genome shotgun sequence.